AAGGUUUGGUCCUAGCCUUGAAAUCAGUUAUUAUUUAAUAUACACAUGCAAGUCUCCGCACCCCUGUGAAAACGCCCUUAUUCUCCCCUACAGGGAGCAGGAGCCGGUAUCAGGCACAAAUUUUUGCCCAUAACACCUAGCAUCGCCACACCCACAAGGGACUUCAGCAGUGAUUAACAUUGAGCAUAAGCGAUAGCUUGACUCAGUUAAACUAAACAGAGCCGGCCAAUCUGGUGCCAGCCGCCGCGGUUACACCACUGUGGCUCAAAUUGAUUUCUAUCGGCGUAAAGCGUGAUUAAAGAUUAAUCUUUUGGAGUUAAACUAAAAUUAAGCUGUGACACGCUUAUUACCUAAGAAAAUCAUAAACGAAAGCUACUCCAAUAUUACCAACUUGAAUUCACGACAACUGAGGAACAAACUGGGAUUAGAUACCCCACUAUGCUCAGUCGUAAACUUUAACUUACAUCUUUCUACUCGCCAGGGAACUACGAGCUAAGCUUAAAACCCAAAGGACUUGACGGUACCCCAUAUCCCCCUAGAGGAGCCUGUCCUAUAAUCGAUAACCCCCGUUUUACCUCACCAUUUUUUGUUAAUCAGCCUGUAUACCUCCGUCGUCAGCUUACCACGUGAGCGUGUGAGCUAAAUGUUUUUUUCAACCACACGUCAGGUCAAGGUGCAGCAAAUAAAAUGGAAAGAGAUGGGCUACACUCUCUAUUCUAGAAUAAACAAAAGACUAAAUGAAACCCGGUCAGAAGGCGGAUUUAGCAGUAAAAUGAAACUAGAGCGUUCAUUUAAACAUGGCACUGGGGUGUGUACACACCGCCCGUCACCCUCCUCAAUGCUUCAAAACAGUAUUUCACACUUUUUAGCUCCACAGAAGAGGCAAGUCGUAACAUGGUAAGUAUACCGGAAGGUAUGCUUGGAAU
rnacentral:ncRNA from 1 species